rnacentral:rRNA from 1 species
UGGGGAAUUUUGGACAAUGGGCGAAAGCCUGAUCCAGCCAUGCCGCGUGCAGGAUGAAGGCCUUCGGGUUGUAAACUGCUUUUGUACGGAACGAAAAGACUCUGGUUAAUACCUGGGGUCCAUGACGGUACCGUAAGAAUAAGCACCGGCUAACUACGUGCCAGCAGCCGCGGUAAUACGUAGGGUGCAAGCGUUAAUCGGAAUUACUGGGCGUAAAGCGUGCGCAGGCGGUUAUAUAAGACAGAUGUGAAAUCCCCGGGCUCAACCUGGGAACUGCAUUUGUGACUGUAUAGCUAGAGUACGGCAGAGGGGGAUGGAAUUCCGCGUGUAGCAGUGAAAUGCGUAGAUAUGCGGAGGAACACCGAUGGCGAAGGCAAUCCCCUGGGCCUGUACUGACGCUCAUGCACGAAAAGCGUGGGGAGCAAACAGGAUUAGAUACCCUGGUAGUCCACGCCCUAAACGAUGUCAACUGGUUGUUGGGUCUUCACUGACUCAGUAACGAAGCUAACGCGUGAAGUUGACCGCCUGGGGAGUACGGCCGCAAGGUUGAAACUCAAA